CACAGAUUUGCAUCCAGGAUGAUCUGUAGGUUCUGCAGUGGUCAAAUAGGCCUUGGAUUAAUAGCUGUUUUCAUGAAGAAGGAUUAAUAAAAGCAGCCUUCAAAAACACAGAUCACUUCAUAUGUCUGAUCCCUGACCAGUUACUGAAGGUACAUUUUAUGCCACAAUGUCAACAGCAGCACACAGGACUGAAUCCAGAAGAGGUGACCUAGAACCUGCCUUAAUACAUGGUGCUGGCUGGGGGCCCCAUAAACAUGAAAAAAAAAGAAUGAUCACAGCCAUGGUCUCGAAACCCGUAUUACCUGGGUCCAGUUGUCUCUUUGAUAUGCAAAAACAGUUCCUGGAAGUGCUUCUCAUUAUGUGAUUGUAGAGACAAUAAAACAGAGAUUUUCUGUGAUCAUACUCCAAAAGAAAUGGAGUGAAAAAUGAGCUAGGGCAGUAUUGAACCUCUUCACUUUCAUUUAAGUUACACUUAAGUUUUUGACUUUACUGCUGCUGAUUUGUUCUGCUGAUUUGUAAGUGCUAUAAGUCUGCCAUAGAAAGCUACUGAUUUAAGUCUGUCUGUCAGUCUGCCCCAUUUGUUAUUUGUAUAAAGCAUGUCACUACUGA